rnacentral:snRNA from 1 species
GUGCUUACUUCAGCAGCACAUAUACUAAAAUUGGAAUGAUACAGAGAUUAGCAUGGCCCCUGCGCACCGAUGACACACAGAUUCGUGAAGCUUUCCAUAUUUAA